UGGGGCAUGUUGGCAUGCACGGCUAGUCCGUGCGACGUCGGCAAGCACCCGCAAAAACACGUCGGCGACGACUCACCGGGCGGCCUUGGCGCGCCAGCGGGGGCAUUUCCUCGCGUCGGUCGGUAGGCUAUUGAUGUGGAACGGCGUUGCUUUCGGGCGUGUGGUGAGUUCUAGAUGCUGCUUGGCAUGCUCUAGGCGCCGCACUCACGGGGCAUACUAAGCCAUGUACGGUCAGUAGCCGAUGUCGCGAUCGAUGCGGGGGGCGCCCGGGCGGAAACUUUGGUGUGCCUUCAGCACCUCUUGCGGGAUUAACUUCUCCCCUCCUGGCGGACCGUGUCUAGCGGGGCUUGCUUUGGCCUUGCGACGUCGGCAUCGGCUUCGGCGCGCGGCAUCUGAUGCCGGGCGUCGGGGCGGUUGUUUGGCGCGCAUCGACGAAGCAUUCGGACGCACGACGCACGAGUGGUGUUCGGCAUGUGUGGUUAGGUUGGAUCCCUGCUCGCGCAGCGACGUCCCGACCCGCACGCCACCUCAGUAGCGGGGCGAGCGCAAAUCAGGCUCGCCCGAAGUCAUUUUCCUGUGCUGCAUACCUAAUGCCCCGGCAUUACCGCGUACGAUACGUCGCCUUUCGCCCCUCGCGCUCCGCGUGCGGGGCGAACCCGAAAGCCGCUCCCGCGUCCCACGCCCUCCUCGCUCCGCCGUGCGAGGUCGUGGUCCGCGGGCGUCGGCUCGGAUUCUCGGAUUCGGUAGACGCAGCGGGCAUGGGGUCCCCUCGCGGGCUCCUAUCUGCCCCCAAAACUAUGCUCCUUGCGAACGACGGUCGCGCCCGCCUUGUGUCUGGCCGCGCCCUUCCGGGGCAGGCCGGGCUCAUGCGGCGCGCGGCUCGCUGAGGAAUGC
rnacentral:misc_RNA from 1 species